GACGAACGCUGGCGGCGUGCUUAACACAUGCAAGUCGAACGAAGUGGCGAACGGGUGAGUAACGCGUAAUCAACCUGCCCUUCAGAGGGGGACAACAGUUGGAAACGACUGCUAAUACCGCAUACUGAAGGAGGGGAUUGCGUCUGAUUAGCUAGUUGGAGGGGUAACGGCCCACCAAGGCGAUGAUCAGUAGCCGGUCUGAGAGGAUGAACGGCCACAUUGGGACUGAGACACGGCCCAGACUCCUACGGGAGGCAGCAGUGGGGAAUAUUGGACAAUGGACCAAAGUCUGAUCCAGCAAUUCUGUGUGCACGAUGAAGUUUUUCGGAAUGUAAAGUGCUUUCAGUUGGGAAGCGGUACCAACAGAAGAAGUGACGGCUAAAUACGUGCCAGCAGCCGCGGUAAUUC
rnacentral:rRNA from 1 species